GACGAACGCUGGCGGCGUGCUUAACACAUGCAAGUCGAACGGAAAGGCCCAGCUUUCUGUGUACUCGAGUUGCGAACGGGUGGGUAAGACAUGGGUGGUCUGCCCUCAACUUUGGGAUAAGCCUAUGAAACUGGGUCGAAUACCUGAUAGGAUCAACUUUCGCAUGGUUGGUUGUGGAAAGCUUGUGCGGUUUGGGAUGGGCCCGCGGCCUAUCAGCGUGUUGGUGGGGUAAUGGUCUACGAAGGCGACGACGGGUAGCCGACCUGAGAGGGUGAUCGGCCACCAUGGGCCUGAGACACGGAGCAGACUCCUACGGGAGGCAGCAGUGGGGAACAUUGCACAAUGGGCGCAAGCCUGAUGCAGCGACGCCGCGUGCGGGAUGACGGCCUUCGGGUUGUAAACAUCUUUCACCAGGGACGAAGCGUGAGUGACGGUACCUGGAGAAGAAGCAACGGCCAACUACGUG
rnacentral:rRNA from 1 species